rnacentral:tRNA from 1 species
CACCUGCCUUGCACGCAGGGGGUCAAGAGUUCGAAUCUCUUUAUCUCCACCA